CGGGGAGUAGCGCAGCUUGGUUAGCGCGCCUGCUUUGGGAGCAGGAGGCCGCGGGUUCGAAUCCCGCCUCCCCGACCA
rnacentral:tRNA from 1 species